rnacentral:rRNA from 1 species
GCUGUUAAGGGUUCGUAGUUGAACUGUGGGUUGUUUUCGAGCCAUCAGCAGCUCAGUCCCGCUCUACGGAUCGGCGACCGCUGCACUCGCAACCCGUGAACAUCCGAAACAGAAAUCGCGGGUCGCGCUUCCCUUCCCAACCCCGCGUGACAUGCACGCCAGCGGAGGGACGCCCGUGUAUUACUGUGACCAAAGAAGCGUGACCAAAGCAGUCAUUCUCGACAUGAAUUAGCAAGCUGGGAUAACAAAGGAGCAACCUUGAGGCUACCGUCUCGGCUUUUGUUGGUUUUAAAGGCCUCUGGGGAUUAUGGGCCCGCACGACAAGCCCCUUGGCCGCACCUCGUGCGCGCCGAGGUCAUUUGGCCUUCUCUUUCGUCGUCAGCGCGCCCUACGCGGGUGGCACGGGCGUCUGGGCUUGCGGGGACCAGGAAUGAAGGAGGGUUGUUCGGGGGAGAACGUACUUGGGCGUUAGGGUGAAAUUCAUAGACCGCCCAAUGACGAACUACAGCGAAGGCAUUCUCCAAGGAUACCUUCCUCAUCAAGAACCAAAGUGUGGAGAUCGAAGAUGAUUAGA